CUUUCUUCCUCUCUCUACAAAAAUGAUGCCUCUAUUAAAGCAAAAACGUUUUGAAACUCAGCUUUCACUCUCUGCUUUAGUUUAAUUUGUCCAUUUUCUAGCAUGAGCCAGCCCUGCUGGAGUGUCAAAGCGUGGCCACUCACCACCACUGCCGCUUCCACCAGAGUCUAAGAAAGCUUCUCCACCUCCAAGGAAAGUAUCUCCUAUACCUGAUUCAUCUGUGAUUCAUGUGGAUCAGCUCAGCAGGAAUGUUAACGAAAAUCAUUUCACAG